rnacentral:lncRNA from 1 species
AAUCUCAUUAUCCUUAAUCCUUAAUACAUUUAAAUCCCAAAUACCCUUAGUUUUAUACGGCUAAUUUCAUAUACCUUCUAAGGAUUAUUCUAAACCAAACGCUCCUAAGCAUUAUUCUAAACCAAACCCUAAACCCAACCUAAACCAAACGCAAAACCUUUUUUACUACCUAGACCCUAAAUUCUACCUAACCCUAAACCCUACCUAAACCUAGACCUUAACCCUAUCUAACCCUAACCCCUACAUAAACCUAACCCUAAUACCUAAACCCUUCCUACUACCUAAACCCUAAACUUAUCUAACCGUAAACCUACCUAACCUUAACCCUAAACCUUAUUUAACCCUAAACCCUACCUAACCCUAAACACUACCUAACCCUAAAACCUAACCCUAAACCCUACCUAACCCUAACCCUAAACCCUACCUAACCCUAACCCUACUAACCCUACCUAACCCAAAACCUUUCUAACCCUAAACCUUUUCUAGCCCUAAACCCUACCUAUUCCUAAACCCUACCUAACCCUAAACCCUAUCUAAUUCUAAACCCUACUUAACCCUAAACCCUACCUAACCCUAAACCCUACCUACCCUAAACCCUUUCUAACUCUAAACCCUUUCUAACCCUAAACCCUACCUAACCCUAAACCCCUUCUAACCCUAAACCUGACCUAACUCUAAACCCUGCCUAACCCUAAACCCUACCUAACCCUAAACCCUUUCAAACCCUAAACCCUGCCUAACCCUAAACCCUUUCUAACCCUAACCCUUUCUAGCCCUAAACCCUACCAACCCUAAACCCUUUCUAACCCUAAACCAUGCUAACCCUAAACCCUACCUAACCCUAACCCUACAUAACCCUAAACCCUACAUAACCCUAAACCCUACCAACCCUAAACCCUUUCUAACCCUAAACCAUGCUAACCCUAAACCCUACCUAACCCUAACCCUACAUAACCCUAAACCCUACAUAACCCUAAACCCUACACCCUACUAACCUAAACCCUACUAACUCUAAACCCUACAAACCCUAAAUCCUACCUAAUUCCAAACCCUACCUAACCCUAAAUCCUACCUAACCCUAAACCCUACCUAUUAACCCUAAACCUUACCUAACCCUAAAUCCUAUCGAAUCCUAAACCCUACUAACCCUAAACCCUACUAACCUAAACCCUACUAACUCUAAACCCUACAAACCCUAAAUCCUACCUAAUUCCAAACCCUACCUAACCCUAAAUCCUACCUAACCCUAAACCCUACCUACUAACCCUAAACCUUACCUAACCCUAAAUCCUAUCGAAUCCUAAACCCUACUAACCCUAAACCCUACUAACCUAAACCUUACUAACUCUAAACCCUACUAACCCUAAAUCCUACCUAAUUCCAAACCCUACCUAACCCUAAAUCCUACCUAACCCUAAACCCUACCUAUCCUAAACCCUACCAAACCCUAAACCCUACCUAGCCCUAAACCCUACUAACCCUAAACCCUACCAACCCUAAACCCUACCAACCCUAAACCCUAUCUAUCCCUAAAUCCUAUUAACCCUAAACCUUACCUAACCUUAAAGCCUACUUACCCUAAACCCUUUUUAACCCUAAACCCUUUCUAACCCUAUACCUUUCCUAACCCUAAACUCUGCCUAACCCUAAAAACCCUACCUAACCCUAACCAUUUCUAACCCUAAACCCUACCUAACCCUAAACCCUACCUAACCCUAAACCCUACUAACCCUAUCUAAUUAUAAACCCUACCUAACUCUAAACCCUACCUAACUCUAAACCCUACCUAACCCUAAACCCUACCUACCCGAAACCCUACCUAACCCUAAACUCUACCUAACCCUAAACCCUACCUAGCCCUAAACCCUACUAACCCUAAACCCUACCUAACCCUAAACCGUACCAACCCUAAACCCUACCUAACUAUAAACCCUACUAACCCUAAAUCCUACAUAUCCCUAAACCCUACCUACUCUAAACCCUUUUAACCCAAAACCCUACCUAACCGUAAACCCUUCCUAACCCAAAACUCUGUCUAACCCUAAAACCCUACCUAACCUAAACCAUUUCUAACCUUAAACCCUACCUAACCCUAAACCCUGUCCAAACCUAACCCUAAAACCCUACAUAAACCUAACCAUAAAUCCUAUCUAAAGCUAAAACUCUACCAACCCUAAACACUAAAAAAUAAUCUCAAAACUUAAAACCUAACCCUAAACCCUACCUAACCCUAACCCUAAACCCUACCUAACCCUAACCCUAAACCCUACCUAACCCUAACCCUACUAACCCUACCUAACCCAAAACCUUUUCUAGCCCUAAACCCUACCUAUUCCUAAACCCUACCUAACCCUAAACCCUUUCUAAUUCUAAACCCUACUUAACCCUAAACCCUACCUAACCCUAAACCCUACCUACCCUAAACCCUUUCUAACUCUAAACCCUUUCUAACCCUAAACCCUACCUAACCCUAAACCCCUUCUAACCCUAAACCUGACCUAACUCUAAACCCUGCCUAACCCUAAACCCUACCUAACCCUAAACCCUUUCAAACCCUAAACCCUGCCUAACCCUAAACCCUUUCUAACCCUAACCCUUUCUAGCCCUAAACCCUACCAACCCUAAACCCUUUCUAACCCUAAACCAUGCUAACCCUAAACCCUACCUAACCCUAACCCUACAUAACCCUAAACCCUACUAACCCUAAACCUGACCUAACCCUAAAACCUGCCUAACCCUAAACCCUACAGAACCCUAAACCCUUUCUAACCCUAAACCCUUUCUAGCCCUAAACCCUACCAACCCUAAACCCUUUCUAACCCUAAACCUUGCUAACCC